AAGACUAUACUUUCAGGGAUCAUUUCUAUAGUUAUUGACAUGGAAAUGCGUUUCGAAAAAGUUGAGUUUCGCUAGCCACGAUGACGAGUCGUAGUGUUCCUUUCUGAGCGCGAAUCGGAUAGAAAUCCAUGGAGUUAUCCAUUCGAUAUCUAUUAUUGAUGACCGUCCCUAUUGAUCUUUGAUCAUAGGGUGAAAGGGGCAUGUUCAGAGCGGU